UUUUUUUUUGCAAGAAUUAAAAGAGAUUGAGAGACAAAAACGUAGUAGUUAGCUGCAUAAUAUAAUACGGAAGAGUGUGUGCUUUUUUUUAAUCCCCUCUCAUUUUUUUUAUUUCCGUUUUUAAUUGUGAUAUUUAUUUUUAUAAAUAAUAAUUCUGCCUCUUAUAGCAACAGGUUAACAACCACAAAAAGCAUUGUCACCGUAGUAACUGUAUAAACUCCGACCAAAGCAUAACACUGGUUUGAUACUCCUAGUUGGCCUUCGGGAUAUGUGACAUUCCUGAUUCUACCAACAGAUAUAAAAUAGCACAAUGUUUGCCCCGAGGACUAACAUGAUAUAUUAAUGUCAUCAUGUUCCUAUUAGUUACUCUCAUAGGUGUGUGUGUUUAAAUAUAAUGUCCAGUAACUUUUAUGGGGAAAAAAAAUGUUUAGAACAACAUUUUACAUUUUUAUUUAUUUGCUUAAUACGAUUAUA